rnacentral:misc_RNA from 1 species
GUGAGAAGCAACCACCCAUGGAACAAAAACCCUCAAAUCCCUGUAGCCUCAUUCUUUCCCCUCUGAGCUUUUGCUUUAUUCAUUUCCUAGAACUUUUAUAACUUAAAAUUGACUAAAGGGUUAUUGGGUUUCUUACAGUAAUGAAGUUCAGUAAAUUGAGGCUCAGACAUGUGCUUAAGCUCAAGCAAAAUGAGAGUCCAACCACGCCAUGGCUG